AAAGUCGUAACAAGGUUUCCGUAGGUGAACCUGCGGAAGGAUCAUUAAAAAUAGAAUACUAUUUGAUUAGUGAAUUAAGCUAUUGAUUUGUUGGGUAUCGUCCAACGUUAAACUUUUUUAAUUAUGUGCAGGAAAUAAUAGUUGUAAAACUUUUAGCAACGGAUCUCUAGGUUCUC
rnacentral:misc_RNA from 1 species